rnacentral:tRNA from 1 species
GUGGGGUUAUAGCUCAUUGGUAGAGCACUUGUCUAGCACAUGUGAGGCCCUGGGUUCGAUCCUCAGCACCACA